rnacentral:rRNA from 1 species
GUCUGCGGCCAUACCACCCUGAACAUGCCUGAUCUUGUCUGAUCUUGGAAGCUAAGCAGUGUCAGGCCUAGUUAGUACUUGGAUGAGAAACAUUAAAAAUAAAGGAUGGGGGGUGGAUAGC